rnacentral:tRNA from 1 species
AGGGUUGUAGUUAAAUAUAACAUUUGAUCUGCAUUCAAAAAGUAUUGAUAAUUCAAUCUACCUUG